GGAGCUGGAAAGGUGGAGGCGGAAGUGACUGAUCAAUUCAGGGGCGUGGGGUUCGUUUAGGUUUUGCCCUGUGUAUGACCUCGUUUGGAGCCAUGAAACCAGGUGGCUUUUCUACAAUAUAAAGAUGGAAAUGGGAAGAAGAUGUUCAUUGCAAAUUAAGGAAGCUCUUCCACGAGUUCACGAAUGGAAAUAACAUCAAGAGUUUUUCAUCUUCUUAGUGUGCAAGGUAUGGAUAUUCUGUGUGUGAACUUCAAGAGUAUCUAAGGGAGGCAAUAACAUGGUUGAUAAUAUACCAGAGACUACAAACUGUCUGUGCAUCCCAGAGGAACAGGAAGCUUGUGCAGGUGAAAAGACUGGAGGAGGAAGUAUGUUGAUGAUACCCAGGAAGCCCACCUUCCACUUCUUUGGUCAUCAGAAGUAAGAAAAAGGACAAUUAAAUAAGUGGUUAAUAGUUGUUUAGAGAAAGAGAAUUUUCACUUUAUAUGCCAGUCAUUGAUAAUAUUUGCCAUAGUGGUUGCUGUUAAGUAAGUUUCUUCCUGCAGGCCUGUGAGAAGGCAUAGUACAUGAAAGUAGCAGUGCUUUCAACCUGAUUAUUAUUAUACAGUAUGGACUUUUAUUAUAUAACAAGCAAUACUUACAUUUUGUUAUUUACUUAUUUAUUACUAUACACUUACACAUAUGCAGACACAGUAAUAAACAUCUAAGUGGUACAAAUAGGUACAAAACCAAAAAUAAAAGUCUGCCUUCUAACUUC
rnacentral:lncRNA from 10 species